GAUGAACGCUAGCUACAGGCUUAACACAUGCAAGUCGAGGGGAAACGAUAUUUGGAAGCUUGCUUCCGAUAGGCGUCGACCGGCGCACGGGUGAGUAACGCGUAUCCAACCUGCCCACCACUUGGGGAUAACCUUGCGAAAGUAAGACUAAUACCCGAUGAUAUCCCUAGAAGAACAUCUGAAAGGGNUUAAAGAUUUAUCGGUGAUGGAUGGGGAUGCGUCUGAUUAGCUUGUUGGCGGGGUAGCGGCCCACCAAGGCGACGAUCAGUAGGGGUUCUGAGAGGAAGGUCCCCCGACAUUGGAACUGAGACACGGUCCAAACUCCUACGGGAGGCAGCAGUUGAGGAAUAUUGGUCAAUGGGCGAGAGCCUUGAACCAGCCAAGUAGCGUGCAGGAUGACGGCCCUAUGGGUUGUAAACUGCUUUUAUAAGGGAUAAAGUG
rnacentral:rRNA from 1 species